GACGAACGCUGGCGGCGUGCUUAACACAUGCAAGUCGAACGGAAAGGACUGUGCUUCCUUGUGUUGAACGGGUACUCGAGUGGCGAACGGAGGAGUAACACGUGAGUGAUCUGCCCCCAACUUGGGUAUAAGCCUGGGAAACUGGUUCUAAUUCCCGAUAGGACUGCAGGGUGGUGCCGGUUGUGGAUAACGUUUUUCUAGUGGUUGGGGAUGAGCUCGCGGCCUAUCAGCUUGUUGGUGGGGUAAUGACCUACCAAGGCGGCGACGGGUAGCCGGCCUGGGAGGGUGGACGGCCACAUUGGGACUGAGAUACGGCCUAGACUCCUACGGCAGGCAGCAGCGGGGAAUCUUGCACAAUGGGCGGAAGCCUGAUGCAGCGACGCGGCGUGGGGGAUGACGGCCUUCGGGUGGUAAACUCCUUUAGAUCGCGAGGAAGCCGCCUGGUUGGAAGGGUGGUGACGGUAGUGGUAGAAGAAGCACCGGCUAACUACGUG
rnacentral:rRNA from 1 species